GGACAUCUGUGGAUUAGGUGAAGGAGGGGUUGAGGUCAGAGGUCAGGAGGAGAGGACAGAGAUGUGUUGAUAUAGGGGAGACAGAUGGACAUCUGGGUAUUAGGUGAAGGAGGGGUUGAGGUCAGAGGUCAGGACAGAGAUGUGUUGAUACAGGGGAGACAGAUGGACAUCUGUGGAUUAGGUGAAGGAGGGGUUGAGGUCAGGAGGUGAGGACAGAGAUGUGUUGAUACAGGGGAGACAGAUGGACAUCUGUGGAUUAGGUGAAGGAGGGGUUGAGGUCAGGAGGUGAGGACAGAGAUGUGUUGAUACAGGGGAGACAGAUGGACAUCUGGGUAUUAGGUGAAGGAGGGGUUGAGGUCAGGAGGUGAGGACAGAGAUGUGUUGAUACAGGGGAGACAGAUGGACAUCUGGGUAUUAGGUGAAGGAGGGGUUGAGGUCAGGAGGUGAGGACAGAGAUGUGUUGAUACAGGGGAGACAGAUGGACAUCUGGGUAUUAGGUGAAGGAGGGGUUGAGGUCAGGAGGAGAGGAGAGAGAUGUGUUGAUACAGGGGAGACAGAUGGACAUCUGUGGAUUAGGUGAAGGAGGGGUUGAGGUCAGAGGUCAGGAGGAGAGGACAGAGAUGUGUUGAUAUAGGGGAGACAGAUGGACAUCUGGGUAUUAGGUGAAGGAGGGGUUGAGGUCAGGAGGUGAGGACAGAGAUGUGUUGAUACAGGGGAGACAGAUGGACAUCUGGGUAUUAGGUGAAGGAGGGGUUGAGGUCAGGAGGUGAGGACAGAGAUGUGUUGAUACAGGGGAGACAGAUGGACAUCUGGGUAUUAGGUGAAGGAGGGGUUGAGGUCAGGAGGUGAGGACAGAGAUGUGUUGAUACAGGGGAGACAGAUGGACAUCUGGGUAUUAGGUGAAGGAGGGGUUGAGGUCAGGAGGUGAGGACAGAGAUGUGUUGAUACAGGGGAGACAGAUGGACAUCUGGGUAUUAGGUGAAGGAGGGGUUGAGGUCAGGAGGUGAGGACAGAGAUGUGUUGAUACAGGGGAGACAUCUGGGUAUUAGGUGAAGGAGGGGUUGAGGUCAGAGGUCAGGAGGAGAGGACAGAGAUGUGUUGAUAUAGGGGAGACAGAUGGACAUCUGGGUAUUAGGUGAAGGAGGGGUUGAGGUCAGGAGGUGAGGACAGAGAUGUGUUGAUACAGGGGAGACAGAUGGACAUCUGGGUAUUAGGUGAAGGAGGGGUUGAGGUCAGGACAGAGAUGUGUUGAUACAGGGGAGACAGAUGGACAUCUGGGUAUUAGGUGAAGGAGGGGUUGAGGUCAGGAGGAGAGGAGAGAGAUGUGUUGAUACAGGGGAGACAGAUGGACAUCUGGGUAUUAGGUGAAGGAGGGGUUGAGGUCAGAGGUCAGGAGGAGAGGAGAGAGAUGUGUUGAUACAGGGGAGACAGAUGGACAUCUGGGUAUUAGGUGAAGGAGGGGUUGAGGUCAGAGGUCAGGAGGUGAGGACAGAGAUGUGUUGAUACAGGGGAGACAGAUGGACAUCUGGGUAUUAGGUGAAGGAGGGGUUGAGGUCAGGAGGAGAGGACAGAGAUGUGUUGAUACAGGGGAGACAGAUGGACAUCUGGGUAUUAGGUGAAGGAGGGGUUGAGGUCAGGAGGUGAGGACAGAGAUGUGUUGAUACAGGGGAGACAGAUGGACAUCUGGGUAUUAGGUGAAGGAGGGGUUGAGGUCAGGAGGAGAGGAGAGAGAUGUGUUGAUACAGGGGAGACAGAUGGACAUCUGGGUAUUAGGUGAAGGAGGGGUUGAGGUCAGAGGUCAGGAGGAGAGGAGAGAGAUGUGUUGAUACAGGGGAGACAGAUGGACAUCUGGGUAUUAGGUGAAGGAGGGGUUGAGGUCAGAGGUCAGGAGGAGAGGAGAGUGAUGUGUUGAUACAGGGGAGACAGAUGGACAUCUGGGUAUUAGGUGAAGGAGGGGUUGAGGUCAGGAGGUGAGGAGAGAGAUGUGUUGAUACAGGGGAGACAGAUGGACAUCUGGGUAUUAGGUGAAGGAGGGGUUGAGGUCAGAGGUCAGGAGGUGAGGACAGAGAUGUGUUGAUACAGGGGAGACAGAUGGACAUCUGUGGACUAGGUGAAGGAGGGGUUGAGGUCAGGAGGUGAGGACAGAGAUGUGUUGAUACAGGGGAGACAGAUGGACAUCUGUGGACUAGGUGA